GAUGAACGCUGGCGGCGUGCCUAAUACAUGCAAGUCGAGCGCCCCUUUAAGAGGUGACAAUCAACGAUUGUCGGUUCCUAUGGGGAGCGGCGGACGGCUGAGUAACACGUGGGAACCUGCCCCAAAGUGAGGGGUAACGCACCGAAAGGUGUGCUAAUACCGCAUAUGAUCUUCGGAUUAAAGCUUUAUGCGCUUUGGGAGGGGCCUGCGUCCUAUUAGAUAGUUGGUGAGGUAAAGGCUCACCAAGUCAACGAUGGGUAGCUGGUCUGAGAGGAUGACCAGCCAGACUGGAACUGAGACACGGUCCAGACUCCUACGGGAGGCAGCAGUAAGGAAUCUUCCACAAUGGGCGAAAGCCUGAUGGAGCAACGCCGCGUGCAGGAUGAAGGCCCUCGGGUCGUAAACUGCUUUUAUGAGUGAAGAAUAUGACGGUAACUCAUGAAUAAGGGUCGGCUAACUACGUGCCAGCAGCCGCGGUCAUACGUAGGACCCAAGCGUUAUCCGGAGUGACUGGGCGUAAAGAGUUGCGUAGGUGGCUUGUAAAGCAAAUAGUGAAAUCUGGUGGCUCAACCAUUCAGGCUAUUAUUUGAACUCACAAGCUCGAGAACAGCAGAGGUAACUGGAAUUUCUGAAGUAGGGGUAAUAUCCGUAGAUAUCAGAAGGAACACCAAUGGCGUAGGCAGGUUACUGGGCUGUUUCUGACACUGAGGCACGAAAGCGUGGGGAGCGAACCGGAUUAGAUACCCGGGUAGUCCACGCCGUAAACGAUGGAUACUAGCUGUUGGAGGUAUCGACCCCUUCAGUAGCGAAGCUAACGCGUUAAGUAUCCCGCCUGUGGAGUACGGUCGCAAGACUAAAACAUAAAGGAAUUGACGGGGACCCGCACAAGCGGUGGAUCAUGUUCUUUAAUUCGAUGCUAAACGAAGAACCUUACCAGGGCUUGACAUCCCGAGAAUUACUCCGAAAGGAGUGAGUGCUUUAUUGAACUCGGUGACAGAUGAUGCAUGGCCGUCGUCAGCUCGUGUCGUGAGAUGUUUGGUUAAGUCCAUCAACGAGCGCAACCCUUGUGAUUAGUUGUAUUUUUCUAAUCAUACUGCCCCGGAAACGGGGAGGAAGGAGGGGAUGAGGCCAGGUCAGUAUUUCUCUUACGUCCUGGGCUAGAAACGUGAUACAAUGGCAAGUACAAUGCGCAGCGAAGCCGCGAGGUGAAGCAAAUCGCACCAAAGCUUGUCCCAGUUCGGAUUGGAGGCUGAAACUCGCCUCCAUGAAGUCGGAAUCGCUAGUAAUCGCAAGUCAGCAAAUUGCGGUGAAUACGUUCCCGGGUCU
rnacentral:rRNA from 1 species